AUUGAACGCUGGCGGCAGGCCUAACACAUGCAAGUCGAGCGGAUGAAGGGAGCUUGCUCCUGGAUUCAGCGGCGGACGGGUGAGUAAUGCCUAGGAAUCUGCCUGGUAGUGGGGGAUAACGUCCGGAAACGGGCGCUAAUACCGCAUACGUCCAGAGGGAGAAAGUGGGGGAUCUUAGGACCUCACGCUAUCAGAUGAGCCUAGGUCGGAUUAGCUAGUUGGUGGGGUAAAGGCCUACCAAGGCGACGAUCCGUAACUGGUCUGAGAGGAUGAUCAGUCACACUGGAACUGAGACACGGUCCAGACUCCUACGGGAGGCAGCAGUGGGGAAUAUUGGACAAUGGGCGAAAGCCUGAUCCAGCCAUGCCGCGUGUGUGAAGAAGGUCUUCGGAUUGUAAAGCACUUUAAGUUGGGAGGAAGGGCAGUAAGUUAAUACCUUGCUGUUUUGACGUUACCAACAGAAUAAGCACCGGCUAACUUCGUG
rnacentral:rRNA from 1 species